rnacentral:lncRNA from 1 species
UCUCGCGGAGUGGACACUUUGGUGGGGGAGACAGAUGUCCAGAAGGACACGCCAUCCAGACACAUAAUCUUGUGAGGGUGAGAGCUCACAUGGUGCUCUGAGUGACAAGGACAGUGGCUGCUCUGUUUGGAGGCUUGGAGAGGCCUCUCUGAGGAGAGGAUGUUUAGGGCAUAGACCUGGUGGUUUCAAGGCUCUUCUGGCACCCGUGAUGAGGAAAGCUGUGAUUCUGUGGCCCCUCUGGCAUUUCCUGGACCUUCGGGCUUCUGAGUCUAUUUGAACUUCAUGGCCAGGUGCCUCUCACUAAUGAAAGGGCCUCCACUGAGAUUUCCUUGGGAACAAAGGAGAGCUCAGUUGUUCUUGAGGCCUCAAAGGGGCCCCUGAGGCAGGCCUGAUGCCCGGCUGUGUGCAAGGACCAGAGGAGUGGCUGCCCAGCCUGGAGGCAGGUGCUGGCUGGACUGACCUCCUGGGACCCACUUAAGCUUUCUACAAACAACACAUCAUCUGGGCUGAGUGGGGGGUUCUCGGGGCAAAAAAAAAAAAAAAAGUCUUCUACGGAAGCUGCCUUGUGACUUGGCCCUGAGCUCAGGCAGGGUGGGGACCCUGAGCACCAGAGAGGUCAUUGUUCCGUGAAAGCCAAGGCGGCAACCCCUCCCUCUUCCCCUUCUUGUGCUUGGAACCUCCAGACCCCUGGACUCCCAGGGGAGCCCAGGGAGUCAGUGUAUGAGGUGCUGAAGCCAAGUCCUUCCAGAGCUUGGGGGAAGGUCAGUUGGUUUAUAAAUCACCUGAAUUUCAUCAGGGUCACCAUGGGGGAGCUUCAUGCAUUUUUCA